GCAACCUACCUUUUAUUGGGGGAUAGCCCGGAGAAAUCCGGAUUAAUACCGCAUAACAUCACUUGAGGGCAUCUGAGGGUGAUUAAAGCUGAGGCGAUAAAAGAUGGGCAUGCGUGCCAUUAGCUAGUUGGUUGGGGUAACGGCCCACCAAGGCGACGAUGGCUAGGGGUUCUGAGAGGAUGAUCC
rnacentral:rRNA from 1 species